rnacentral:lncRNA from 1 species
UAAAACCCGAAGUGAAUUCUGGAGAUACGAAAAUUUGUAUGCUGAUGACUAAGCCUGUCAUCAGUAUGGAUACAAACAAAUUAUAUCAAAAGUACAGUUUGGCUUGUGAUAAGAUGGUAUCUUUCUCGUAAGACUUCUUUACCUUAGGACAUUAUGUAGAAAUAUUACACAAGCUUUGAAUUUCAUGUGUAGUUGGUCUGUGAUUGGAACAGUUCGCGUUUCACCCAGCAUGGAGCAGUAUCCUUUUGUUCACUAGACGCAGAAACAACAACAAGGGAACAUGAAAACUCGGUAAGCCAUAUGUUACGAAACAUUGGUUUCUCUUUCACUCUGCAGAGUAGCACUUCCUGUAGUGCUGAAGAAAGCGUGAAGAUGCCUUUUUUGCAUUGGGAACGGAGACAAUGUGUUAUUGUUAACGGAAUGAAUUGUGAAUAAAAGGAUACUGCUUAAUGCUGGGUGAAACGCGAACAGUUCCAAUCACAGACCAACUACACAUGAAGUUCAAAGCUUGUGUAAUAUUUCUGUUAAACAAUCAAAACAAUAUUUAAAUGUAUAAUUAACUUCGGCUCGAUAGCAAAUAAUGUAAUAACAGAACGUUAAAAUGUAAAUGCAUAAGUGAGUUCCUUUAUGGUGAUAUGAGUACCUAUACAAUAGUUGACAGAUUGUAAUACGAUAUUUUUAAUCGA